AGAAGACCUACCUGACAGCAAAGACCAGGAAACAGCAAUUUGAACUCUUAUGGAUAGCCUACAGGCUGCUUUAGGGCUUAACACUGGAAUCAAGAAAGGAGGGGGAAAUCACACCACAUCCAUACAGAUCCACCUCCAGUGGCAACUCUGGUGGUGUUGGAAUUGCUGCUGACCACCACCCUCAACAGGUCUGCACCUACCCAGGAACAUUCAUCGUUCCCCAGCUUGAUUGUGCCUCUUCUGCACUUUGUGAGGCUAGGCUUCGGAAGGAGGUUAAUUGACUGCUGGACUGGUGAUUGACUCUAACAUUUGUUUCCAACUAUACCACCUGAAUCACUGAAAGAUUAGAGUGUGAAGAUACAAAACUGGGAGAGAUCUGUAGUAGAGGCUGAGACUGGGGUAGGGCUAUUUAACUGGG
rnacentral:lncRNA from 1 species